ensembl:lncRNA
AAUCCCUUAUUUUCCCAAAGUGAGCAGUCUGCACUGCUGGACAGUGAGAUUGCUUUAGGAUUUAUGUAAAAAUGGGAGGUUUUUUUUGCAUUUUCUUUCCUUCUCUCCCCCACCUCUCUGAUUCAGAGGGUUAAAUGCAAAAUACACAUUUCAGUUGAAUACAUUCAGUUGUACAACUUCUGUCUCCCUCAAUCUCCCGAUUUGGGCAUUUUUGUUUGCUUCUGUUGUUUUAUCACCUCUUUUUACUACGCCUCUCUCCGGGCUGUCUCUCUCAUUCUGUAGUUCUCUUAUUCCCACUUUCUCUCUAUCCUCCUGUUCCACUCUGCCCAGGCAUCACAGUUUGCAUUCUAGGCCCCUUUUCCUGGAACCAGGGCUCUACAGCAGAGGCCACCUCAGGGCAGGAUGGCAAGGAGGGGGAGCAGUCUUCCUGCAAAUCACAUGCCCCCUCGUUCCUGCCAGACACUGAGGAUCACGUGACCUCUGUAUAGGUUUUCCAUAAAUUCCUCACAUUCAACCAAUAGGUAUCCAGUAUCACACCCUUCUAUUUCCCUGUUACUUCACUGUUCUGCUGCCUGCACAUGUGUGCUCUCUCUUCCCCUAUAGGUCAAUGUAUUGGUUUACUGUAUAUAGUGCCAGACCUCGCACAAUGCAGCGCACACUGUAUUGCUCAGGCAUAUCUGGGACAGGUUGUUGGAGUAUGUUGUCAGAGAGUGAGAUAUUACAGUUGAAUUCAGAAGUUUACAUGCACCUUAGCCAAAUACAUUUAAACUCAGUUCUUCGCAUUUCCUGACAUUUAUUUAAUCUUAGUAAAAAUUCAAUGUCUUAGGUCAGUUAGGAUCACCACUUUAUUUUAAGAAUGUGAAAUGUCAGAAUGAUUUAUUUAAGCUUUUCUUUCUUUAAUCAUAUUCCCAUUGGGUCAGAAGUUUACAUACACUCAAUUAGUGUUUAGUAGCAUUGCCUUUAAAUUGUUUAACUUGAGUAAAACAUUUCGGGUAGCCUUCCACAAGCUUCCCACAAUAAGUUGGGUGAAUUUUGGCCCAUUCCUCCUGACAGAGCUGAUGUAACUAAGUCAUACUCGCACACGCUUUUUCAGUUCUGCCCACAAAUUGUCUAUAGGAUUGAGGUCAGGGCUUUGUGUUGGCCACUCCAAUACCUUGAGUUAAGCCAUUUUGCCACAACUUUGGAAUUAUGCUUGGGUUCAUUGUCCAUUUAGAAGACCCAUUUGCGACCAAGCUUUAACUUCCUGACUGAUGUCUUGAGAUGUUGCGUCAAUAUAUCCACAUAACUCUCCUCAUGCCUCAUGAUGCCAUAUAUUUUGUGAAGUGCACCAGUCCCUCCUGCAGCAAAGCACCCCACAACAUGAUGCUGCCAAUCGGUUCACGGUUGGGAUGGUGUUCUUCGGCUUGCAGCGUCCCCCUUUUUUUUCCAAACAAAACGAUGGUCAUUAUGGCCAUACAGUUCUAUUUUUGUUUCAUCAGACCAGAGGACAUUUCUCCAAAAAGUAUGAUCUUUGUCCCCAUGUGCAGUUGCAAACCGUAGUCUGGCUUUUUUAUGGCAGUUUUGGAGCAGUGGUGUCUUCCUUGCUGAGCGACCUUUCAGGUUAUGUCGAUAUAGGACUCGUUUUACUGUGGAUAUAGAUACUUUUGGACCUGUUUCCUCCAGCAUCUUCUCAAGGUCAUUUGCUGUUGUUCUGGGAUUGAUUUGCACUUUUCGCACCAAAAUACAAUCAUUUCUAGGACACAGAACGCAUCCUCUUCCUGAGCGAUAUGACGGCUGCGGGGUCCUGUGGUGUUUAUACUUGCGUACUAUUGUUGUACAGCUGUUGUUCUGGGAUUGAUUUAGAGCUUUUUGCACCAAAGUCCGUUCAUCUCUAGGAGACAGAACGUGUCUCCAUCCUGAGCGGUAUGACUGCUGCGUGGUCCCAUGGUGUUUAUACUUGCGUACUAUUGUUUGUACAGAUGAACGUGGUACCUUCAGGCGUUUGGAAAUUGCUCCCAAGGAUGAACCAGACUUGUGGAGGUCUACAAAUUUGUUUCUGAGGUCUUGGUUGAUUUCUUUUGAUUUUCCCAUGAUGUCAAGCAAAGAGGCACUGAGUUUGAAGGUAGGCCUUGAAAUGCAUCCACAGGUACACCUCUAAUUGACUCAAAUUAGGUCAAUUAGCCUAUCAGAAGCUUCUAAAGCCAUGAUAUAAUUUUCUGGAAUUUUACGACCUGUUUAAAGGCACAGUGAAUUUAGUGUAUGUAAACUUCUGACCCACUGGAAUUGUGAUACAGAAAAAUUACUUGUCAUGCUAAAACUAGUUUGUUAUCAAGAAAUUUGUGGAGUAGUUGAAGAAUGAGUUUUAAUGACUCCAACCUAAGUGUAUGUAAACUUCCGAAUUCAAUUUUACAUGUGAAGGUUUACUCAAUGACAUUAGUCCUCAGAGGCCAUGAUAAAACAUUAGAAUCAACAUAUAGAAAACAGAUAUCAUUGUGAUGUCAACCAUAAGCCUAUUCAUCAUUGGCUGCAAUGCAUUUAUUUAAAAUGUAUAUCACAAUGAAAUUAAUAUAAAUCAUUUAUCCAAUCAGCAGCCUAGUCACACUGCUGUUUUUAAUGAGCUUUGCUCUUAUCAAAACACAUCCUGUGUUCUUUGCUUGGUGUUUGUUAGAACUUAUGCAUGUUCACCUGUUAUAUUCUGUUUUCAGUAAAUUCAUUUAUUUUCC